GUGGGGAAUAUUCCGCAAUGGACGAAAGUCUGACGGAGCAACGCCGCGUGAGUGAUGAAGGUUUUCGGACUGUAAAGCUCUGUUGUUUGGGACGAAAGUGGCUGUUGCGAACAGUUACGGGUAUUGACGGUACUAAACGAGGAAGCCACGGCUAACUACGUGCCAGCAGCCGCGGUAAUACGUAGGUGGCAAGCGUUGUCCGGAAUUAUUGGGCGUAAAGAGCAUGUAGGCGGGAAUCUAAGUCUGUUGUGAAAAUGCGGGGCUCAACCCCGUAUUGCGAUGGAAACUGGGUUUCCUGAGUGCAGGAGAGGAAAGGGGAAUUCCCAGUGUAGCGGUGAAAUGCGUAGAUAUUGGGAGGAACACCAGUGGCGAAGGCGCCUUUCUGGACUGUGUCUGACGCUGAGAUGCGAAAGCCAGGGUAGCGAACGGGAUUAGAAACCCGGGUAGUCC
rnacentral:rRNA from 1 species